rnacentral:rRNA from 1 species
GUGGGGGAUAUUGCACAAUGGGGGAAACCCUGAUGCAGCAACGCCGCGUGAAGGAAGAAGGUCUUCGGAUUGUAAACUUUUGUCUUGCGGGACGAAUAAUGACGGUACCGCAGGAGGAAGCCACGGCUAACUACGUGCCAGCAGCCGCGGUAAUACGUAGGUGGCGAGCGUUGUCCGGAAUUACUGGGUGUAAAGGGUGCGUAGGCGGAUUUGCAAGUCAGGUGUGAAAACUAUCGGCUUAACCGGUAGCCUGCACUUGAAACUGUAAGUCUUGAGUGGUGAAGAGGUAAGCGGAAUUCCUAGUGUAGCGGUGAAAUGCGUAGAUAUUAGGAGGAACACCAGUGGCGAAGGCGGCUUACUGGGCACUAACUGACGCUGAGGCACGAAAGCAUGGGGAGCAAACAGGAUUAGAUACCCUAGUAGUCC